AUCGAACGCUGGCGGCAGGCCUAACACAUGCAAGUCGAGCGAGCGGCGGACGGGUGAGUAAUGUCUGGGAAACCGCCUGAUGGAGGGGGAUAACUACUGGAAACGGUAGCUAAUACCGCAUAUCAUCACAUGUGCCCAGAUGGUAUCAGCUAGUAGGUUGGGUAACGGCUCACCUAGGCGACGAUCCCUAGCUGGUCUGAGAGGAUGACCAACCACAUUGGAACGGAGACACGGUCCAGACUCCUACGGGAGGCAGCAGUGGGGAAUAUUGCACAAUGGGCGCAAGGCUGAUGCGGCAAUGCCGCGUGUGUGAAGAAGGCCUUCGGGUUGUAAAGCACUUUCGGCGGGGAGGCGUUACCCGCCGAAAAAGCACCGGCUAACUCCGUGCCAGCAGCCGCGGUAAUUC
rnacentral:rRNA from 1 species